CCGGGUGCCUGACGGGCCCGGCAACGCGAGAGCGCCGCCCUUGCGGCGCUUCCCAUGCUCAGAUUGCUCACAGGAGGAUUUGGAUAUGAGGA
rnacentral:sRNA from 1 species